rnacentral:rRNA from 1 species
UCGGAUAACCGUAGUAACACUAGAGCUAAUACGUGCGUAAAUCCCGACUUUUUGAAGGGACGUAUUUAUUAGAUUUAUGGCCAGCCGGGCUUGCCCGACCAGCGGUGAAUCAUGGUAACUUGACGGAUUGCAUGGCCUUUGUGCCGGCGACGUGUCAUUCAAGUUUCUGCCCCAUCAGGUUUCGACUGUAGUGUAUUGGACUACAGUGCCUAUAACGGGUAGCGGAGGAUUAGGGUUCGAUUCCGGAGAGGGAGCCUGAGAAACGGCUACCACAUCCAAGGAAGGCAGCAGGCGCGCAAAUUACCCAAUCCCAACUCAGGGAGGUAGUGACAAGAAAUAGCAAUGCGGGGCUUAUUUGUUCGGCAAUUGGAAUGAGUACAAUUUAAAUCACUUAACGAGUAUCAAUUGGAGGGCAAGUCUGGUGCCAGCAGCCGCGGUAAUUCCAGCUCCAAUAGCGUAUAUGUAAGUUGUUGCGAUUAAAAAGCCCGUAGCUGAACCUCGGGCAACCCUGACGGUCCGCGUUUCGUGAGUACUGUCGUGGGUUGUCUUUCUGGCAAGACCGUAUCUCGUCGUUAACUCGCCGGGAACGGCGCUUGCCACGGUUACUUUGAGUAGAAGAGACUGUACAAAGUUGUCUCGUGCUCUGAUCACUUAGCAUGGGAUGUGACCAUCUGACCGAUGUGCAUUCGUGAUGGUCUGCACACUUGUUGGCAAAGCCUACCAGAGGACGGGCCCUCGUGAUACCAUUUCUCUGUCGGAGAAUGUAUGAUAGUGUUGGCUUCU